CAUAGACACGUCACGUUCACAAAUCACGAGCCAUAUUAUAGUGUAGUGGUGAUAAGAGCGGCAAGGCUUACUGAACGCGUCCACGAACGAUUACGUGGAACCAUAAAUCAUGGACAUACCUAAUAUUGUAAUUAUAAAUCUUAAAUUUGACAAAUUAAAACUCACCAACUAGUGAUCGAUCUGUUGCUCUAGGAAAACGACUUUCCUCGUCAAGUAAUGCCAGUAGACCCAUUGGUCUACUUACAAGCAUAUCUAAUACAGGUCUGUUGUCACAAAAGCCAACAUGUUGAACAGGGACACCCUCUGAUUCAUAUUCCUAAUAAUAUAUAUAUGAUAUUAUUCUACUAGCAACUAAAAUUAUAUUUUGACUUUAUUUUACUUACAGCUUGCUCCAAAGCAAAAACAUGCUGGUUAAAAAAAUAUUGAAGUUGCUCGUUGGCAAUAUUUAUACAAAGCUGUUCAAAGGAAUUAUACGUAAAAUUUUCAAAACCGAAAAUAUCAAGUAUUCCUAUCACAUUGUAUUCUUCUCUGAAAAAAUAAAUACAUAUUUAUUUAUUUAAC